GAUGAAGAACGUAGCAAAAUGCGAUAAGUAAUGUGAAUUGCAGAAUUCAGUGAAUCAUCGAAUCUUUGAACGCACAUUGCGCCCGCCAGUAUUCUGGCGGGCAUGCCUGUUCGAGCGUCAUUUAAACCCUCAAGCCCUCGGGUUUGGUGUUGGGGAUCGGCGAGCCUUUCUGGCAAGCCGGCCCCGAAAUCUAGUGGCGGUCUCGCUGCAGCCUCCAUUGCGUAGUAGUAAAACCCUCGCAACUGGAACGCGGCGCGGCCAAGCCGUUAAACCCCCAACUUCUGAAUGUUGACCUCGGAUCAGGUAGGAAUACCCGCUGAACUUAAGCAUAUCAAUAAGCGGAGGA
rnacentral:misc_RNA from 1 species